AUAAAACGGCCUGUAAUUAAAAAAACAUGGAGUUUUAAAUGAAAUUCUUUGAAUAUUACAGUAAAUGUCCUGUAACAAAAAAGAACAUGACAUUUGCCGCAAAUUUACAGGUCGAAAACAAUUACGUGCCAGAUAAAUUACGCGUCGUCCAAUAAUUUUCAAUUCCACACAACAGAAUUAAAGUAUGACUGGCAUCCCAGAGGUAGAAAAACAAAAACGUCAAAACGAGUUCGCGGAUAGUUUGUUUUUGUUUUCGGUUUUAUGUCGGAACAAUCGGAACAACUUCACCAGUUACGGGCCGAGGAGGUGGUUUUCUGUUUGUUUCUUGUUGCGGUGAACAGCUCGUAUUAGGAGAACAACAUUGCGACCUGCACCAGCGGGAAAAUUAAUAGCGUUGUGGAUCCGUGUGUGAAUGUUUUCUAACGUCGGAGACGAUUGUCCGGCGUUUUAUAGUACCGAUACUCUGGCGGAACAAACUGGCGGAUUACAAAUGGCCAUCAGUUAGUCGAACUACGCAGUGGUUGUCGGAAAUGCAGCGAAGGCAACCCGGAUUAGAACAAAACUGCGAGCAGCGGGCUUACCGGUAGAAGGAAGUUGUCGUGAAGAUGAUGGUCGCAUUGUGGUGUGUCGAAUUUCCAUUAAAUUAGAAAAUGCGGUAAGUUGGCGAAAGUUGUUUUUUUUCUGCAAGGUGAAUGACAUUUUUUUUCCUUUAUUCCGUUCUCAAAAUUAAUAGUUUAAAAGUGCCAGGAAUUGUUUCCAUCCGACAUACAAUUAAUCAUCAUAUUCUGAUUGAAUUCGUCUGUAUCUGGAAAACGGCGCAGGACCGGAAGCCAAAUCCAACAAUUUCGACAGCAGUUGAAUGCGUCUCGAGUACAGUGGAAACAAGGCGGUCCGGGACACGGUAGUUUUUACUAAUCAGUUUCAGGAAAUCAAAGGUGGUGCUCUACGAUGGAAACAGAUGACCAAUCUGGAUAAAAUUGGAAAUGUCGCAAUCGGUAGUUGUGCUCAACUCAGAGCUGGGAUUUAUAAAAAAAAAACCGUUACAACAAAUCGGGUUUGAAAACCCUUGCUGAUGAGGUUUACCAAUAUCACAACGAUAACGAGUGCAUAAUGUUUUUUCAAAGCCUGGAUGUGUUCAUUUGAAAUCAGAUUGCUUUAACUACAAAACAUGGACAGGAUCAGUUUUGACUCGCUAAUAUGGCCACAUGAUGAUACAUUUUUUAACCGAAUUUAAAGAAGAUUUGGGUGACAUGUGAAGGAACA